rnacentral:rRNA from 1 species
UUGCUCCGGUGGAUUAGUGGCGAACGGGUGAGUAACACGUGAGAAAUCUGCCCUUGACUCUGGGAUAACUGCGGGAAACUGUAGCUAAUACCGGAUACUUUCCCUGGUGGGCAUCCACUGGGGAAGAAAGAAUUUCGGUCAAGGAUGAUCUCGCGGCCUAUCAGCUAGUUGGUGAGGUAAUGGCUCACCAAGGCGACGACGGGUAGCCGGCCUGAGAGGGUGACCGGCCACACUGGGACUGAGACACGGCCCAGACUCCUACGGGAGGCAGCAGUGGGGAAUAUUGCACAAUGGGCGCAAGCCUGAUGCAGCAACGCCGCGUGAGGGAUGAAGGCCUUCGGGUUGUAAACCUCUUUUAGCAGGGAAGAAGCGAAAGUGACGGUACCUGCAGAAAAAGCACCGGCUAACUACGUGCCAGCAGCCGCGGUAAUACGUAGGGUGCAAGCGUUGUCCGGAAUUAUUGGGCGUAAAGAGCUCGUAGGCGGUUUGUCACGUCUGCUGUGAAAUUUCGAGGCUCAACCUCGAACUUGCAGUGGGUACGGGCAGGCUAGAGUGCGGUAGGGGAGAUGGGAAUUCCUGGUGUAGCGGUGGAAUGCGCAGAUAUCAGGAGGAACACCAAUGGCGAAGGCACAUCUCUGGGCCGUAACUGACGCUGAGGAGCGAAAGCGUGGGGAGCGAACAGGAUUAGAUACCCUGGUAG